UACGUAGGGGGCUAGCGUUGUCCGGAAUCAUUGGCGUAAGCGCGAGCGUAGGCGGCCCGGUAAGUCCGCUGUGAAAGUCAAAGGCUCAACCUUUGAAUGUCAGCGGAUACUGCCGGGCUAGAGUCCGGAAGAGGCGAGUGGAAUCCUGGUGGUAGCGGUGGAAUGCGCAGAUAUCAGGAGGAACAGCCAACGGCGAAGGCAGCUCGCUGGGACGGUACUGACGCUGAGGCGCGAAGCGUGGGGAGCGAACAGG
rnacentral:rRNA from 1 species